AUUGAACGCUGGCGGCAUGCCUUACACAUGCAAGUCGAACGGUAACAGGUCUUCGGAUGCUGACGAGUGGCGAACGGGUGAGUAAUACAUCGGAACGUGCCUAGUAGUGGGGGAUAACUACUAGAAAGAGUGGCUAAUACCGCAUGAGAUCUAGCGAUGAAAGCAGGGGAUCGCAAGACCUUGUGCUACUAGAGCGGACGAAGGCAGAUUAGGUAGUGGGGGGGAGAAAAGCUUACCAAGCCUACGAUCUGUAGCUGGUCUGAGAGGACGAUCAGCCACACUGGGACUGAGACACGGCCCAGACUCCUACGGGAGGCAGCAGUGGGGAAUUUUGGACAAGGGGCGCAAGCCUGAUCCAGCAAUGCCGGGUGCAGGAUGAAGGCCUGCGGGUUGUAAACUGCUUUUGUACGGAACGAAAAGCCCUGGGUUAAUACCCUGGGGUCAUGACGGUACCGUAAGAAUAAGCACCGGCUAACUACGUGCCAGCCGCCGCAGUAAUAC
rnacentral:rRNA from 1 species